AGAGACAGCAGCAGCCACGGUAAUACAGAGGGUGCGAGCGUUAAUCGGAUUUACUGGGCGUAAAGCGUGCGUAGGCGGCUUUUUAAGUCGGAUGUGAAAUCCCUGAGCUUAACUUAGGAAUUGCAUUCGAUACUGGGAAGCUAGAGUAUGGGAGAGGAUGGUAGAAUUCCAGGUGUAGCGGUGAAAUGCGUAGAGAUCUGGAGGAAUACCGAUGGCGAAGGCAGCCAUCUGGCCUAAUACUGACGCUGAGGUACGAAAGCAUGGGGAGCAAACAGGAUUAGAGACCCCUGUAGUCCCUGUCUCUUAUAA
rnacentral:rRNA from 1 species